GCUCUGCAGAGGGGGCCCGCAGCACACUCUCACUUCCCUUCCUACAGCUCCCCUGUCUAACUCUUGCUGCCUGCCAUGGUAACCCAAGGUAACGCUCUGAUGGCCACAGGACUCACAAGAUUCAGACAGGGGAGCUGCUGGGAAGAGAAGUUAGAGUGUGUUGCGGGCCCCCUCUGUAAC